rnacentral:rRNA from 1 species
UGGGGAAUUUUGGACAAUGGGCGAAAGCCUGAUCCAGCAAUGCCGCGUGUGUGAAGAAGGCCUUCGGGUUGUAAAGCACUGUUGUCCGGAAAGAAAUGGCUCUGGUUAAUACCUGGGGUCGAUGACGGUACCGGAAGAAUAAGGACCGGCUAACUACGUGCCAGCAGCCGCGGUAAUACGUAGGGUCCAAGCGUUAAUCGGAAUUACUGGGCGUAAAGCGUGCGCAGGCGGUUGUGCAAGACCGAUGUGAAAUCCCCGAGCUUAACUUGGGAAUUGCAUUGGUGACUGCACGGCUAGAGUGUGUCAGAGGGGGGUAGAAUUCCACGUGUAGCAGUGAAAUGCGUAGAGAUGUGGAGGAAUACCGAUGGCGAAGGCAGCCCCCUGGGAUAACACUGACGCUCAUGCACGAAAGCGUGGGGAGCAAACAGG